GCCAGCAUGGUAUAGUGGUUUGAACACUGGACUAAGAAUCUGGUGAUCAGGGUUUGAUUUCCUUCUUGGCC